rnacentral:rRNA from 1 species
UACGGAGGGGGCUAGCGUUGUUCGGAAUUACUGGGCGUAAAGCGUGCGCAGGCGGUUCUCCAAGUCCGUUGUGAAAGCCCCGGGCUCAACCUGGGAAUGGCAGUGGAAACUAGGGGACUUGAAUCUGGCAGAGGGGGGUGGAAUUCCACGUGUAGCAGUGAAAUGCGUAGAGAUGUGGAGGAACACCGAUGGCGAAGGCAGCCCCCUGGGCUGAGAUUGACGCUCAGGCACGAAAGCGUGGGGAGCAAACAGG